rnacentral:rRNA from 1 species
UGAAUGGCGCAGCUACCAUGCAAGUCGUACGAGAAGGUUCCUUCGGGAACUGGAGAGUGGCGCACGGGUGAGUAACGCGUGGGGACCUACCUCUUAGUGGGGGAUAACGGUUGGAAACGACCGCUAAUACCGCAUACGCCCUUCGGGGGAAAGAUUUAUCGCUAAGAGAUGGACCCGCGUUGGAUUAGAUAGUUGGUGAGGUAACGGCUCACCAAGUCAGCGAUCCAUAGCUGGUUUGAGAGGAUGAUCAGCCACACUGGGACUGAGACACGGCCCAGACUCCUACGGGAGGCAGCAGUGGGGAAUAUUGGACAAUGGGCGCAAGCCUGAUCCAGCCAUGCCGCGUGAGUGAAGAAGGCCUUCGGGUUGUAAAGCUCUUUCAGAUGCGAAGAUGAUGACGGUAACAUCAGAAGAAGCCCCGGCUAAUUUCGUGCCAGCAGCCGCGGUAAUACGAAAGGGGCAAGCGUUGUUCGGAUUUACUGGGCGUAAAGGGCACGCAGGCGGUCCUGCCAGUCAGGGG